UCUCUCGAUAGUUCUUUCGUUGCCGCCCACGCUGUACGAGGGGAGACCCCGCCGCCGCCGAGGGGAGGGGACGAAACCGCCGAGGGGAGACGCCGCCGCCUCCGUCCGACGGGAGAAGCAGGGGAGAAGCCGUCGUCCGAGGGGAGACCCUGCCGCCGCGGAUCCAGGGCAGGGCGGCUUGAAUCCCUGUCCCCGGGGUCGCCCCCGCCGAUCUCCGGGAGACGCCGUCAUCCCCGCCGCGUCUCCAGGGCAGGGCGGUUUCAAUUCACCUCACCCUCCAGAGGGGCUCCGAGACCAGGCCAGGAUCCCCUGUAGCCUGGGAGGGGUUCAGUGACCCGUCCGAAGCGGAACUCGUCUACGACCACAUGCUCUGGGCGGUCCUGCACGAGGCUUUCAACUGCAGCAACGUGGACAUCUACGGGAGGCUGGCGAUUGGGAAAUCUACCGCAUUAUUCUUGUGUGAAGAGUGGACUGCCACACCUGUUUGCGAAGCCCUUGGUGACAUUGCUGAUGUAUCUGUGGCAGGCGACUCUGAUUUAGGACCAAGUUUAUGACAAAUACAUGCUGCUAAUAGGUCAGAUGAGAAGCAGCAAAUGAAAGCACUUUUUGAAAAUGUUGGAUCUUCAAUGUGUUCGGACCACUGUGAUUGGUUUGGAAACAGUGGUCUUGAGGCGAUGUCUCGAAAUGCUGAUACAUUACCCGUCAUCCAUUUUCUACAACUGCGUCCAACGAACUAUGAAAUUAAGAAAUUACAGGUUAGCUCAUUUUAUUGGUUCUUGUCCAACAAUAGAUUGUUCUUGACUGUAAUGGACAUACUUCCAUUUUAAAUGCAUGAUAACUAUAAUAUCAGAAAGCCAAUAGCUUGUUAGAUAGUAAUUCAGUUCUUCCUGUUUUGAACUGUUACAAGAGAUGUUUCAUCUGGUGAAGCAGAAAAAUUUCCCUGCAGCUUUCAGAUGUUACUGGAAUAAUAAAAAAUUUGAUUCUCUUUCAAAUGAUUACUUGUACUACAAUGCUUAUCCAUGGGCACAGUGAUUCUGCUUUUGGACAUUAUCAGCAAGAGAUGAGGUAAAUUUGCGAAAUCAUCCUUGUAUUACAAGAUGCUUAUCCAUGGACGUUUAAAUUUUCACCCGUCUUUAAAAAUAUAAUGCCUUCAUUCAUACGUUAUGAUUUUUUUCUCUCGCUUUUGCCAUUUUUUAUUUCUCACCUACCUUCACCACUUAUGAUUAAAUCCGCAUACUAAAACUUCUCUCCUUCCCUAGACAAUGACUUCAUGGCUACCAUGACCAUCUUCCUAUACUAUUAAUGGCUUAUUUAUUUCCCAUGUCUGAAUAAGUUACACUUUAUAAUAUGAAAUGGAUAGAGUAUCUCAUUAGUAUAUGGAAAUAUCUCUUCUUUCUUCUUCUUUUUUUAGAUUUAUUAACUCUAAUGGAUCCCCCAUUUUCCUUUCUAGGAAAAAUCAAGAGCAUGCAUAUUUAGUACUGUACUUUAUAAGAAGCAGUUUCCUUUCCAACCCAUACAAUCUCCAUAGUACACUAUGUUCUACUAGUAUAUGGUACGUGCUAUGCACGUGAUGUUUUGUGAUCAAACAACAAUCAAGUUUACACCAUACAAUUGUACAUCGUCAACUCAUCAUUGGUGGCUUCAUGCCAUAUGACUUUACACGAUGGGUGCUUCACAAAACAGCCGCAAAAGUUCUUGCAUAGAACUUUUACUUUCAUCAACAACAGAACUCCAGAAAUAUCGUGUCCAACUUGUUUUGGUGCGUAGCCGCACCAAGCGAAUUCCAAAAAUCAGGGCCGUUGGGUCACUUGAAAUCAAUGGCUAAUAAAUGCUUCUAUAUCACGGCGGGUGAUGAGUCCAAAUUAAAAAAUUCAUGUACUGCGUAUGGAUUUAGGGAUUAUUACUGGAGACAAUGGAAAAACUUGAAUCAUGUUUGUAAAAUGAAUUUAUAAGAGAAUGUAAUAGCUAUUUAAUUACAACAUAUAUUAAGCUUUCACUUUAUUUGUGUUUGUAAUCUCAUAACCAGGCGGAUCAAUCAAUUGAAAAAAAGAAGAUAAUGAAUAGUAGUAUCAAGCAUAUGAUUAUUUGUACUAAAUAAAAUCCCUUCAGUUAACAUUUUGCCCUUACCGUGGCUGCACUGCUGCAUGCACUUCUCCGUCUCUCUCCCAUCACGUGUAGCAGUACUUUUGCAUGGUGGAAUUUCUUGCCAGUAGUAGUACUCUAGGGUAGCACUCUCAUGGGAGCCUACCGGAGAUUUCUAGGAUGCUGUGUCCGGCGAAAGAUUCACGAACCUGCAUGUACUCUCUACUGCGGUGGAAGUCUGCCAGCGAAGGGUGUGCACACUGCGAAUCCCUCCAUUGUGGGCCGUCCGAUCACUCCAUCUGACGGUCUAUAAGAGGCCACAUAGUCCUCUAUCUAAACCAAUUGAGUGCGAGCCGUCGGAUUACAAAGAUCCAACGGUCUAUAUCUCUUCAUAUUGAUACACUAUAUAGGAGUAUAUAUAUGUUCUAUUGUGUGGUUGUUGGUAUUCUAAAAACACUUCUAUGAUAAGCCUAGCAUUCUGUGUCCACAGCCAGGAGGCCUGUAAGAGUUACUAAUUUAAGAUAAUACUGACGCGCCCAAUUCAUCAUAUAAUACCAAUAAACGUGAUAAUGUGAGUCGGGGAGUACAAGUCCGUCGCAGCAAAGUUUGCAUCAACACAAUGGAAGUGGUAUUCUGUAGAAAAAUAGCAGCCAUCAUCUCACAGACACCUGUACAAUUACUUACAAGAGCAAUCAUGUAGUUAGAACGACAUAUUAGUAUAGUUUUGCUAUAACUGAGGCUAAGUUCUGCCGUAAUGUUCUUGUUGCUGAUAGCAUGUGUAUUGAUGAAAAGUUAGAUGACAUGGAUGCUUAUGAGAUUCUCUGUGUAGGUGCUUUCAUCUGAUAAUUUUGAUAUUUUAUUUACUGAAUAAUCUUCCGAGAAUCAGGUUUGUAAAAGAAGACCUUAUCCAUGGCUGCAUUUUUCCCUUGUGGGUAUUAUGAAUUGUUCAAUUCGUUUUUUGUUAACUGCUCAAGUAACUUUCUAGCAUUUGAAGAGUCGUAUUAUCUUAUGAAUUGCUUUAAACUUUGUAUGUGUUCUUCAGAAUUAUUUUAAGGACUUGACACUUUGGAAUCUGAGACUAUCUCUGAAUCUCCAAGUGGAAUAGGGGUUAUACGGAUUGAAGAUAACAAAGUGCGUACAUAUAUGUUCAUUCCUACAUGCUGACACCAGGUCAAUGAAUUUGUCAAGAUUGCUAGAGCUGCAAACAUCCGUGCUUACAUAAUUUUCCAACUGAAGAAUGACAUAACUGCAAUGACGGGGAAAGCCAAGGCUCAACGGCGACUCAUUGACAGCUUACAUGAUGAGUAGGGAACCUGAUGGGCUACCCUCUUCGGUUUAUAGGGGUAUUUGUAACCUGGAGCAAUCAGACACACUUUCUUAUCCGGAAAUGAAAUCCGAACAUCUGUUUGGUUUUAAUAUGUAAACUAGUGUACCUACUUAGAGUGAUCUUUUAACUCAAUGAAAAUUACAGAAAUUUGCUUGGUAAAGGCCUCAUGUCACUUGGCAUCAAAGAGCUCAAGCUUCUUGAAAAGCAACUUGAUUCAUCCUCAAGGUACAUAAGAUCCAAAAGACUAAUUGAUUUCUUUCAGUAUAAUCAUGAUUCAGAAGAAAGGAGCACUAGCUCUUUCGUUGUCUAUAGAAAACAGUACAAAUUGUUCCUUUGUUCUGCUUAUUUCUACUGUGUUAAAUAAUAAUAGGCAAUAUUAUGCUGCUAGAUGUAGGGUUUCAUGAUCACUUUUGACCUGUGUUGUAGGUAGAUUACACCUAUUUUUGUCUUGCUUUGAUUUUAAGUAAAAUUGAGCUGGGCGUGUGCUCUGUUCAAACAAUAAACAAAAUAGAGUAUCCUCAUGCUGUAAAUAUACCUCAGUUUUUUUUCAAUUUACUUAACACAUCUCAGGUUAGUGAGAUGCUCUGUACACUACAUCUAUUGAACUAUGUGCAGUUUUCAGCUUGAUGUCUUUGAUUUAACGUCAUUAUUCUAGGACUGGAAUAUUUAGCAUUUGACAUAUUGAUUCCAGUAAUGCAAUUAAUGCAUUGUAAAAACUAGGAAUAAUUUGGCUGUGUCGUCCUCGAUAUGUUAUGACACAAAAAUGUUGAUCAUUUUCACGAUUGCAGACACAUCAUAUGCUUCAUCAUCUCACUGGUCUCUAGAGCAAGGUAGGCUCUUAACAAAAUAAAUUUUAUCAUAUUAUGUAUUCAUAAAUUUUCUCACACAAAUUUAUUCAGAUAUAAAAUCGACUGUACACUGAAUAAUUUUGUAGGGAGAUCUUUUGAGAAGAAAAUAAGUGCCUUAGAAGAAAAGAAAAUGUAAUUUCCCAUUGCAUGUAUUAAUUAGAUUACUGAAUUCUUUCCCUCGAGAAGAAAUAAUUUAACUCAGUCAUUUCUGUCCUUUCUUUCGGGUUUAAUCUUCAUAAAAGUGGUUGAGUUUUGGCGUUGGCUCGCCAAGCCUAUCAAGCUUGUCCAACAUUGUCUGAGAUAGUUUGGGCAUAUUCAGCACAGGCCUCCUGAAGCUCUCGUGCAUAGCGGAUAGCUAAAGCAUGCUGAUACUGUCAAGAGAGGUCGGGGUAGACCGAACUUGACAUGGGAGGAGUCCGUAAAGAGAGAUAUGAAGAACUGGUGUACCAUCAAAGAACUAGCCAUGGACAGGGGUGCGUGGAAACUUGCUAUCCAUGUGCCAGAACCAUGAGUUAGAUGCAUUAUCUUAUGGGUUUCACCUCUAGCCUACCCCAACUUGUUUGGGACUAAAGGCUUUGUUAUUAUUAUUGUUAUUGUUACAUUUCUGUCCUUUCUAGGAGGAUUUCAAUUGUUUUCCCAAUUUUCCUUCCACCAUUUUGUAACCCUUUGCAGAACCGUCUGGGGAGGUUCGCAGCAUUGUCUACUCAUCUGAUGGGAAAUCGGUAUCUGUUAUCUAUCAUGUG